rnacentral:rRNA from 1 species
AUUGAACGCUGGCGGCAGGCCUAACACAUGCAAGUCGAACGAGCGGCGGACGGGUGAGUAAUGUAUGGGGAACUGCCCGAUGGAGGGGGAUAACUACUGGAAACGGUGGCUAAUACCGCAUACUAUCGGAUGUACCCAUAUGGGAUUAGCUAGUAGGUGGGGUAAAGGCUCACCUAGGCGACGAUCUCUAGCUGGUCUGAGAGGAUGACAAGCCAAACUGGGACUGAGACACGGUCCAGAGUCCUACGGGAGGCAGAAGUUGGGAAGAUUGCACAAUGGGCGCAAGCCUGAUGCAGCCAUGCCGCGGGUAUGAAGAAGGCCUUCGGGUUGUAAAGUACUUUCAGCGGGGAGGCGUUACCCGCAGAAGAAGCACCGGCUAACUCCGUGCCAGCAGCCGCGGUAAUUC